AUGGCCUGGACCUCCGUCCUGCUCCCCCUCCUCACUCUCUGCACAGUUUCAGUGGUCUCUUCUGAGCUGACUCAGCCACCUACAGUGUCCGCGUCCUUGGGACAGACAACCAAGAUCACCUGCCAGGGAGGCAACUUUGGAAGUUAUUAUGCUAGCUGGUACCAACAGAAGCCAGGCCAGGCUCCUGUGCUAGUCAUCUACAGCAACAACAAGCGGUCCUCAGGAAUCCCUGACCAAUUCUCUGGCUCCUACUUGGGGAACACGGCCACCCUGACCAUCAGUCGAGCCCAGACCGAGGACGAGGCUGACUAUUACUGUCAGUCAUUGGACAGUAGUAGUUAUGCUCACAGUGAUACGGGCUGA